rnacentral:tRNA from 1 species
GGCUUUAUAGUCAAUUUAUGAUAUUAGAUUGCAAAUCUAAAGUAGUAGUAAUACUAAAGCUU